UUAGAAUCAUAAAUCAAAUUUUGACCAUCAUUCUUCAAUCAAUCUAGUCAGAGUGUGAGCAAUAGUAUUUGCCUCCCUCGAGACUUACUGAAUUCUCACCUUCCAAUCUCUCUUACAAAGUUUUUAAAUUCUCAUAAUCAAAUCUCUAUUCAUCUGUCUUUUGAGCCUAUCAUUAAGAGCUUCAACAGCUAGAGCAUAAUCAAUUUCGACAAUUAUAUGAGAUAGUGUUUUUAUUAUUGUUAUUGUUGUUAGAUAGUGUAUUCAUUAUUGAAAUAGGCAAUCGGAAACAAGUGAUAAAGAUGGGGAUAACUGCAUAUCAGAACAAGACAGUCCCUUUAAAUCCAAAUCAGAUAGUUGCCAAAGUAAUUGAAGAUCCUGACACAAGUGGAGACGACUUCAUCAAUGGGAUUUCAAAGUGGCUUAAAACAUCUCAAAAAGAAAUUCAGCCUCAACAUGAUUUCUACCAAAGAACUUGAGAGGAAACAGAUAAAUUGGUGGAAGAAGAGAGUAAUAGCAAUGGAGUUGGUGAGAAUGGAUCAAAACAGGGAUGGAUUAAAGCUAUAGCGUAUAUGGUGAUUGGGAUAAUUAUAUCGGGAGUAUUGGCAGAGCCAUUGAUAUUCAGUGUUCAAACCUUCUCAAAGGCAGCAAACAUACCAUCCUUCUUUAUAUCAUUCAUUGUGGUGCCAUUGAGGGUUGCGUCUUCAGCUAUCUCUGCUGCUUGCCGUAAGAAGUCUAGAACUACUUCCUUGACUUUUUCUAAGGUCUGUUUUUCAGUUUUUCCGACUCAUAUCUAUUCCUAAGAUUGUUCUAGUCAUCUUGAGAACUAGAGAGAGGUUCUGACUUUGUUAAGGCAACAUAAGUUAUUUUCUAAGAGAAGUAAAUGUUCUUUUAGGGCCACAAUAGUUGAGUAUCCGAGGUAUAUCAUCUCUAAAGGUAAUGUGGCAAUGGAUCAGUCAAAGGUUCAGUCUAUGUUGCAUUGGCAUACUCCCCAAUCUGUCAAAGAUUUAAGAGCUUCCUUGGGGUUAUCAAGGUAUUGCAGACGUUUUGUGAAGCUCUAUGGUUUAUUAGCCAAACCGCUAACUGACCUUUUGAAGAAGGAUCAGUGGCAAUGGUCUGAUUCUGCUGGAGCAGCUUUUCAACAGUUGAAGCAGGCCUUAUGUUCAGCCCCUAUUCUGUCUUUACUAUUUUUCACUCAAGACUUUGAGGUGGAAAUUGAUGUUCCUGGUCUGGGGGUGAGUGUCGUGCUGCAACAAUGGGGCAGGCCAUUGGCCUACUUCAGUAAGGCAUCAAGCCUUAUCCAUCUAUGAUAAGGAGGUGCUAGUUGUGUUGUUUGUUGUGAAGAAAUGGAAUCCCUAUUUAGCAGGAAAACAUUUUAAAAUCUACACUGAUCAUCAGAGUUUGAGAUUUCUCACUGCUAAUCAGGCUGUAACCCCUUUUCAACAACAGCGGGCUGGUAAAAUGCUGGGUUAUGACUUUGAGAUUUGCUACAUGAAAGGUGCUACCAAUAUGGUGGCUAAUGCAUUGUCCAGAAGGCCUAUUAAGGGUAAGGCUAUCUUAUCUUCUUUGGUUGUAGUAUAUAGCUUCUGAAUUGGUGCCUCAAAUACAAGCUUUUCAGGACACUGAUGAUAAGCUGAAGAAACUCAUUAAAGAGUUCAUUAGGAAUCGUAGAAGCCAUGCUAAAUAUACAUCGGAUGGUCAUUUUUUGAGGAGAAAGAGGAAGUUUAGUUGCGGGGGCAAAUGUGAAUCUCAAGAGGGCAUUGUUUGGUCAUUUUCAUAGCAGUGCUUUAGGGGGACAUUCUAGGGUUCAUGCUACAAAUAAGAGGUUGUCAAACCUUGUUUGUGCCCCCUUUAUAUUCACCUCCAAUCAUUUUAUUGACACAUAGAUGAUGUAUUUCUAUAUUUCAUUAAUCCUUCUCCUCACAAAUAAAGAUAUGAAUUUCAUGAAAA